UCUGCUGUCACGCAUAACAUUCAUUAUUUGACCGUAUUUCAAAGAUAAACAAAAUCCAGUUACAACUCCGAACCGCUAGAUGGCAGAGUACACAAACACGGGGCCAUAUCUCACGAGAAAGAUUUCCGCUGUUUGAAAAUCAACAACAUCAGCGAGCAGCCAGGAGGAAAGCAAUCGACCACACUCGUUUGGUCUUGUGUCAAAGCUGUGCGAAACUGGAGGGAGAAACUUGAGAGACCGUGCCGGAAGAAUGCUGGACAGAGUUCACUAAAAUUCAUUAAUUUCAAAGUUCAACAUGAAUGGUGGUGGUCCACUGCAGAAGCAAGCAUUUGAAAAAACAUCACUUCUCAGUUAUUAAAGAUGCUGUGUUGAACAACUUCCCAGCAGCAACAGAACUGGAAGUGAAGGAUGCAAUGGGGGCAUUUCAAACAGUCACCAGGCAGCACGGGGGGGGGGG